AGAUGCUCAUUCCACUCCUUAUGACAGCAUAUGACUUCAUAAACCUAGGAAUGAUGCAGAGCCGAUUAUCGGUGCCUACGUCCACGUUAUCGAUGAAACACCAUUCAUCACCAACAGGACGAAACGUUGAGUGAGGCACCAUCCG
rnacentral:sRNA from 1 species